rnacentral:rRNA from 1 species
AGUGAACGCUGGCGGUAGGCCUAACACAUGCAAGUCGAACGGCAGCACAGUAAGAGCUUGCUCUUACGGGUGGCGAGUGGCGGACGGGUGAGGAAUACAUCGGAAUCUACUUUUUCGUGGGGGAUAACGUAGGGAAACUUACGCUAAUACCGCAUACGACCUACGGGUGAAAGCAGGGGAUCUUCGGACCUUGCGCGAUUGAAUGAGCCGAUGUCGGAUUAGCUAGUUGGCGGGGUAAAGGCCCACCAAGGCGACGAUCCGUAGCUGGUCUGAGAGGAUGGUCAGCCACACUAGAACUGAGACACGGUCCAGACUCCUACGGGAGGCAGCAGUGGGGAAUAUUGGACAAAGGGCGCAAGCCUGAUCCAGCCAUACCGCGUGGGUGAAGAAGGCCUUCGGGUUGUAAAGCCCUUUUGUUGGGAGAGAAAAGCAGCAGGUUAAUACCCCGCUGUUCUGACGGUACCCAAAGAAUAAGCACCGGCUAACUUCGUG